rfam:Rhizobium sp. MH17 scaffold20, whole genome shotgun sequence.
UGUCAAGCCUUUAGCGCCGUUUUGGUGAGCGGAUUUCUUUUGCCUUUUGAAAGGUGAAGGAAGAUG